CAAGUUCUUGUUUAUGGGUACC
rnacentral:miRNA from 1 species